GCCCUUAGAGUUUGAUCCUGGCUCAGGAUGAACGCUAGCGGCAGGCUUAACACAUGCAAGUCGAGGGGUAACAGAGGUAGCUUGCUACUUGCUGACGACCGGCGCACGGGUGCGUAACGCGUAUAGAAUCUACCUUAUACUGGGGGAUAGCCUUUGGAAACGAAGAUUAAUACCCCAUAGUAUGUUUGAAUGGCAUCAUUUGGACAUUAAAGUUUCGGCGGUAUAAGAUGACUAUGCGUUCUAUUAGUUUGUUGGUAAGGUAACGGCUUACCAAGACUACGAUAGAUAGGGGUCCUGAGAGGGAGAUCCCCCACACUGGUACUGAGACACGGACCAGACUCCUACGGGAGGCAGCAGUGAGGAAUAUUGGACAAUGGAGGCAACUCUGAUCCAGCCAUGCCGCGUGUAGGAAGACUGCCCUAUGGGUUGUAAACUACUUUUAUAUGGGAAGAAUAAGGUCUACGUGUAGACUGAUGACGGUACCAUAAGAAUAAGCACCGGCUAACUCCGUGCCAGCAGCCGCGGUAAUAAGGGCG
rnacentral:rRNA from 1 species